rnacentral:rRNA from 1 species
UCCAGAGGGUGCAAUCGUUAUUCGGAAUUACUGGGCGUAAAGCGCAUGUAGGCGGUUUAGUAAGUCUGGUGUGAAAUCCCUCGACUCAAUCGGGGAAGUGCAUUGGAUACUGCUAGACUAGAGUAUGGGAGAGGUGAGUGGAAUUCCAGGUGUAGAGGUGAAAUUCGUAGAUAUCUGGAGGAACAACAGAGGCGAAGGCGGCUCACUGGACCAUUACUGACGCUGAGAUGCGAAAGCGUGGGGAGAAAACAGG